rnacentral:rRNA from 1 species
UACGAAGGGGGCUAGCGUUGUUCGGAAUUACUGGGCGUAAAGGGCGCGUAGGCGGUGUGUCAAGUCAGGCGUGAAAGCCCCGGGCUCAACCUGGGAACCGCGCUUGAGACUGGCACGCUCGAGUUCGGGAGAGGAUGGUGGAAUUCCCAGUGUAGAGGUGAAAUUCGUAGAUAUUGGGAAGAACACCGAUGGCGAAGGCAGCCAUCUGGACCGACACUGACGCUGAGGCGUGAAAGCGUGGGGAGCAAACAGG